rnacentral:rRNA from 1 species
UACGUAGGGCGCGAGCGUUGUCCGGAAUCAUUGGGCGUAAAGAGCUCGUAGGCGGCCGGUUGCGUCUGCUGUGAAAUCCCGGGGCUUAACCCCGGGCGUGCAGUGGAUACGGGCUGGCUGGAGGCAGGCAGGGGAGAAUGGAAUUCCCGGUGUAGCGGUGAAAUGCGCAGAUAUCAGGAGGAACACCGGUGGCGAAGGCGGGUCUCUGGGCCGAUACUGACGCUGAGGAGCGAAAGCGUGGGGAGCGAACAGG